rnacentral:rRNA from 1 species
GAUGAACGCUGGCGGCGUGCCUAAUACAUGCAAGUCGAGCGAACAGAUGAGGAGCUUGCUCCUCUGACGUUAGCGGCGGACGGGUGAGUAACACGUGGAUAACCUACCUAUAAGACUGGGAUAACUUCGGGAAACCGGAGCUAAUACCGGAUAAUAUAUUGAACCGCAUGGUUCAAUAGUGAAAGACGGUUUUGCUGUCACUUAUAGAUGGAUCCGCGCCGCAUUAGCUAGUUGGUAAGGUAACGGCUUACCAAGGCAACGAUGCGUAGCCGACCUGAGAGGGUGAUCGGCCAAACGGGAACUGAGACACGGUCCAGACUCCUACGGGAGGCAGCAGUAGGGAAUCUUCCGCAAUGGGCGAAAGCCUGACGGAGCAACGCCGCGUGAGUGAUGAAGGUCUUCGGAUCGUAAAACUCUGUUAUUAGGGAAGAACAAAUGUGUAAGUAACUAUGCACGUCUUGACGGUACCUAAUCAGAAAGCCACGGCUAACUACGUG